rnacentral:ncRNA from 18 species
CACGCCCCUCUUUGACUGCUCCAUCCCUGUGUAGUUAUUAGUGUUGUCACUGACCGACCGCCUCUUUGCGGUCGGUUUUUUU